UAACUACCUCCAAGAAAGGGUUUCACCCCCAAAAAGCCAGUGUGAACAAUCUUGUGUCAUUAUUCUUUGAAUUUCAGAUAACAGGCUAUCCCAGACUCUUCUUUUAUAAAAAUAGAAAUGACAGCUGUCACUUCUUGAACAUUUAUUAAGUAGUAGGCACUAUGCUAAACCCUUCAGAUACCCUAUGUUCACACCCCUGUGAGGUAGGUUUACUAUCGUUAACUCACAGAUAAGGAAAAUGAGGCUACAAGAACUGAACUAAACUACAGUUGGCUGAGCCAGCAAUUGAAUCAGUUUAGAUUCCAGAGUCUAUGUUUGUAAAUAAUAUGCCAUAGUGCUUUCUAUUCACAGAGCAUCUGCCCCAUUAACCGCUCUCGGUUAUCAUCUUCCACCAGAGAGAACACACCGAGGGACUCAGCAAAAUGUCCUGUAAGAUGAGGGAAAUGACUGAUUUUGUCCUGCUUGCAGGAUCUUAGUUCCCCAGCCAGGGAUGAAACCUGGAACCCUGCAGUGAAAGCACCAAGUCCCAACUACUGGACCACCGGGGAAUUCCCAAGAAAAUUCAAUUUUCAGUCUCCAACUCCAUGUACUGAAAACAUGCCAGUUCUGAGAGAAGAGGCCCCAUGAGGACAUGAUGAGAAGGCAGCCUUCCACAAGCCAGGAAAAGAGACCUCACAAGAAACCAAUCCUGCUGGCAUUUUGACCUUGAAAUUCUAGCCUCCAGAAUUGUGAGAAAAUUAAUUUCUGUUAUUUAAGCCAGUUAGUCUGGUAUUUUGUUAUGGAAGCCCGAACAGGCUAAUACAGUAGCAUAAUGUUGGGUAAUGAUAAGAAUCAUGAAGAAAAUAAAGUAUGGCAGAAGGAUAUAUAGUGAUGGGGUGGAGAGCUAUGUUGAAUAUGGAAAGUAGGAAAGGCCCUGGGGGAAGAUCAUUCCAGGCUGAAGUAUUCCUGGGAGAAUUAAUUCCCUGACAUGAGAACAAAAUGGAGGCGUGUGAGAAAUAGCUAAAAAGGCUGUGUAGCCCAAGCACAUUAGGCAGAGACACAUGAAAGGAAAUGAGGACAAAGAGGAAACCACGGGCCAGAUUAUUAGGGCCAUGUAGGCCAUAGCAAGGACUUCAGAUUUUGUUCUAAGUGGGAUGGAAAGCUGCUGGAAGGUUUUAAGCAAGAGAGUGACAAAUAUGAUUUACUUUAAAAGGGUCACAGACACACAGGAAGGAGACUGUGGGAGAGAAAGACUGGAAGGUGGGAGAAUGGUUAGAAGGCUAGUUUAACAGUCCAGGUGAGAGAUGGUGGGGGUAUGGGCUAGACGGGAUGGGGUUGAAGGAGGUGAGAAAUAGUUGGAUUCAGAGUAUAUUUUCAAGAUAAUUGAGGAUUGCUCUAUCAGUUAGAUGCGGCAUGCAAGAGAAAGAAAAGAAUCAAGGGCCCUGACUGAGCUGUGCACUAGUCAUUGCGGUGCUGUUUACUGAGAUGAUAAAACAGCAGGAGGCACAAGUUUGUGGGGAGCGGGUUUGAAUCAAGAGUUCAGUUUUGUACAUGUCUAUUAGACAUCCAAGUGGAGAUGUUGAAUAGGCAAUUGGAUAGACCAGCAUGGAGUUCAGGGAGGGUUAGAAUUAGAGAGAUAAAAUGAGUGUCAUUAGCAUUUAAGUGGUAUUGAAAGACUGAAUAUCGUUAAUCACUGCCAGCACCUGCUUCUCAAUUUACAGAUCCAUAUUUAAGGGUGGGAGAGGCAGUAAGGAGCUAUUUUCCUAUCUUUCUGCUCCUCCUUUCCAUUCUCCAUCCCCUCAAAAAUUACCCCAUCUGGCUUCAAGCCCUCACUUCAAGAAGACUUCACACUUGGGCCGGUGAUGCUGACUGUUACACACUGAAGCACAUUCCCCAGUCACCUGGCGAGGCAGAGUCCUCCCACUGGUGGAGCUUGGCUGCUUUGGCUGUGGUUCUAAGCUCAGUCUAGGCCUGCCCUCUCUAAAGCCUGAAUCCCUGGAGGAGGUGAGCCUUUUUCCUUGACCGCCUACCUGCCUCUCCUCACCAUUUCACAGACCUGGUGUCUUCACUGACUCUCGGCCUUUCUUCAACUCCAGUAGGGAGGCAGUGAGAGCAAAUCUCUUUUAUGGGACCAUAGACCUCUUUUGGUAAUGAAGAAGAAAAACAACAACUGCUUUAAGUGAAUAAGGGAGAAAACGCCUACCUCUGGGAGUCAAAAGUCCCACUGUAGUUUCCAUGAAUCAUUGCCACUAAACUGAAUGAAGAGGAUGACCUUGAAAGGGGAGCCUCCAUAAUCUGGCCUGGCUAGGUUAUGGAGAAUUACUCAAGAAUGAGCCAUAACCCAAAGUCAGAUCUGGUGGGAACCUGAACCUGCCAGCACCCAGGAGUGCUACUGGUGGCCUAGCGUAGAGAUCUUCAAACUGGGGUGCAAGUAUCUUGAGCAUGAAAAAGGGAUCCAGUUUAUAGAUGCUCAUUUUUAGGUCCCUACAGCUGAGCUGUUUGAGGAGGCUACUGUGCCUUACUCUUUUAAGACCUCAUGCUGCCCUUUCAUUACUGCCCCUUCCCACUUUAGUAAAGAAUUCCCACCUGGAAUCUUAUGAGGCCAUUUCUUCUGGAUGUAAAGAGUUCCUAACCAAGGAAUUAUUUAAAAUCUUAGUUUCAAAGAAGGAUCCUUAAAGUAUUUAUCAAGGGACCAUAAUUUUGUGUUUUCCCCUAGCUUAUACUAAAUACCAUAUAUCACCAAUUCUAAGAUAAGCAUUUUUUCACAUUGUAACCUCUCUGAAAUUGGUGUAUCUUACCAUCAUGUAAGCCCAGUGGUUGUUAUUACCUGCACUUGUGCAUUUUCACAAUCAAAACUUGUAGAAUGCAUAUUGGAUGUAUAGUGGAGCACCUUUUUAUCACCUAAGAAGCAGAGCUAUGGGGCAAAAGUGGACAGUGGGUGGUGAAUCAAAUGAGGUUAACAAUAUUCCUAAAGCAGAAGACAAAUUCUUUUGUCUAGAAUAACUCUCUAGGUCAAGUAGGUGAGUUUCUAAAUUUAAACCUAUCACCCAGAGAUACAUUCCUUGUUGCCAAUUCAGUUUUGAGAACUUAAAAAACUUCUGUAAGGGCAGUCUGUAAGGAAGCGCUCUAUUCCCAGCUCUCUUUCUUAUUUGCUACGUUGACUGAAGGCAAUUUUACUCUACAUUACGUUCCUUGAACAGAUAUAGGUUUGUGAGUAAUUUCAACAGUAUUCAUAAAAUGAAUCUGCUCUUCAAAUUUUGAUGAUGUGAUCAUUUCAACAGAAAAAAAUAGAAGAUGUGUUUGUUGGUGGUUAUUGGGCUGUACCCCACAGGCCUACAAGGCCUGUGCUUGCCCAGCUUCAAGACUGAAGAAAGCCUGGAGUCAGCAACAGAGACAUCAGUGUGAGACAGGCUGGGACCUUUUGCUGCAGUGCUGCAAUGCUUGCACCUGGACUAAUGUCUCCUGGAGCAAGAAAAUACUGAUACAAAGAAAACUAUAAGGGACUAAAAGUGGCCGCUGUCCAUGCACAGUUCGGGCAAAUUCUAGACAAAAGAUACAAAAAGACCAAAAAAACCCCAACUGCCACUUCUGAAGAGCUGGGAGUAAAAACAGGAUGUCCGAGCAAAAGCAGGGUACUGCACAUGCCCCCAGCACUCAACACCAACAACAGGGGUCGGCAAAGCACUGAAGCCACCCCUCUGGCUCGACCCCUGGACACACCCCUACCCUCACCCCAUAGAAGGAAGCAGCUCCCUCCACUUUGGGGAGGGAGCAAGGGAACGUGUUACUUGUUUUCGCUCC